GGUCUCUUUGACUCGGGACUCUGCGACGGGUCGAAGGCGGCGCUCUGAUGGCCGACGACUCCAUCCUCGUGCAUCGGCGCGCAACGCGCACCAUCGGCCUAAGAAGAGGGAGGGCGACCUGAUUGAAGAAUCACGAUGUGCGGGUCUUUACCAAGACGACGCCCUCCGAGGGUAAGGCGCACACACCUGCUUGUGUACAGCUGCACUUGCAUUUGUCGGGGAUACACGUGAUGAUUUCAUAGUUCAGCUGAGUGCAACUUUGAAGAGAUUUUGAUUUGUCUUUCGCUCCUAUCUGAUAUCCCUGUUAGAGUUAUUCAUGGUCUUGCUGGGUUAAAACUUUCUGACUGAAGUUUUGCACGUUUGCUUUUUGACCCUCCAGGUAGAAAAGAGAGGAUGCUUCAAUUUGAAGUUUGAAGAUGUGAAGAACGUCCUGCAUUUGUAGCCCCAGUGGUGGCUUGAAGAACGACCACAGGUCCUGGUGCUUGCUGGAUGGCAUUGGCGUAGAAGUUCAUAUGCUCAAGAUAUGGAGGAUGGAGAUGCAAACUACACGUUUUGCAAAUCUCCACUUGAAUGUGCUGCCGUCUCAACUUGACUGUUUAUGAAAUUGAACGUGGCUUUGGUUUCGAUUCUUUUUUGUGCAAGUCUUGGCAUUAAUAAAACUGAAUUUUUAAUACAA